AAAUGGAGAACGAAAAAAGAAAAGCAUACAAACAAGAAGCAACAGAAUAUCCAGAGGCAAUCAAAAUUACAACCCCCCUCUUUUCUUGCUUUCUUUACUACCAUUUCUUUUUCUUUCAUUUAUUCCUUUAUCCCCCUCCUCUUCUUAUUGUCUUUACUCUCAAGGAUAAUGGUGAGAUUUCGCAAUUA
rnacentral:ribozyme from 13 species